CUACCUUCUAUUUCAUCUGGCCUUAUAACUUUUGUUCUAGGAGCCCUGAAACUCUUGAAAUAGCAUUAGUAGCCCCCAUAUGUUGCAGUCUGGCUACAUGUCAGGCAUAAUAGCCCUUCCUUUAGAUACAUGAUGUCUUCUAAUCCUUAGGUCAGUUUGGGAAGUAGGUAGAAUUAUUUGCAUUUUAUAGAUGAGGAAAUGAUUUGCAUUACUCAGCUAAUAAGUGGUAGAAAAGGGACUUAAACAUGAAUCUGAAGGCCUUGCCAAGGUUGUCUCUACCCACCAUGCUAUGUCUUACCUUUCUGCCUACUUUCUGCAUGUAACACCUUUCCCCCAGCCCUUUAUUCCAUGUGGCUUCACUAACUCUGCUAAUUCUCUAGAACUCAGAGCUAGUAUCUCUUAUUAUCUCUGGUGCUAGAUUAGAUAUCUCCUUGGUACUUUAAAUAUCUUGGUGUAACUCUAGUGCUAUAACUAUAUGAUAAUUUAAUGAUCACACUAUGUAUCUGUAUGUCUGUCAUUCCCACUAGACCACCAGGGCAGAGACCAUGUUGUUUCUUUGUUAUAUAUCCAGAGUAGAGUCAAAGUAACAACUCAAUAAAUAUUUUUAAUCUUUUUAAAUCAGAGUAUAGUUGAUUUACAGUGUUGUGUCCAUUUCUGCUGUACAGCACAGUGACCCAGUCAUAUAUAUAUAUGUCCUUUUUCUCACAUUAUCUUCCAUCAUGGUUUAUCCCAAGAAACUGGAAAUAGGCAUUCUUCAUUUGUGUUAUUUGAUUGCUAGCACUGUCUUUUGACUCUUUUUCAGAGUUUCUGCUUUCUCUGAAUAUGUUUAUUUCUGAUGUUUCCUCCUCUAUUUUCUUUUUCGUGUAGUUGAUUUACAAUGUUGUGUCAAUUUCUGCUGUACAGCAGUGACCCAGUCAUAUAUAUUUUUUUUCUCAUAUUAUCUUCCAUUAUCUUCUAUUGCAACACACUAGAUAUAUUUCCCUGUGCUAUAUAGUAUUACCUCAUUGCUUAUCCAUUCUCAAUGUGAUAGUUUUCAUCUACUAACCCCAAACUCGCAGUCCAUCCCACUCCCUCCCCCUUGCACUAGGCAACCACAAGUCUGUUCUCUAGGUCUGUAUCUGUUUCUGGUUGUAGAUAGGUUCAUUUGUGCUACAUUUUAGAUUUCACAUAUAAGUGAUAUCAUAUGGUAUUUGUCUUUCUCUGACUGACUUAUUAUGAGAAUUUCUAGCUGCAUCCAUGUUGCUGAAAAUGGCAUUAUUUCAUUCUUUUUUAAGGCUGAGUAGUAUCCCAUUGUGUAUAUGUACCACCUCUUCUUAAUCAAUUCAUCUGUUGAUGGAAAUUUAGGUUGUUUCCAUGUCUUGGCUAUUGUGAACAGUGCUGCAAUGAACAUAGAGGUGCAUGUAUCUUUCUGAAUUAUAAUUUGUCUGGGUAUAUGCUCAGGAAUGUGAUUGCUGAAUCAUAUGAUAGUUCUAUAUUUAGUUUUCUGAGGAACCUCCAUACUUUUUCCCAUAGUGGAACAACUCAACAGACAUUUUCUGGGUGAGUGUGUGAAUGGCGAUAGACCACAGAGUUCUUGAUGCUUCCAUGUUACACCUUGCUAACUUGUAUAAAGAUUUUGUAUUCACUUACCAAAUUUUCAGACACAAUUUUUUAGUCAUGAGAUUAAGUUGUGAGACAGAACUCAAAUUCAACAUUAUCUUUAAUUUAUACUGGAAACAGAGUUUAAAACUUUUAAAGAACAUUGCUUAAAUGAAUAGAUUUAAAAUUAAUAUGUCUCCUCUUAUACUAUUAAUCCUCUUUGCAUUUUACAUACACCUGCACUUACUUUGUAACACUCAGGUCACAAUACAUCUCAUUCACAUGUAAAAUGCAAAAAGAAAAAUGCAUGCAUGUUUCUCUUUACAUUGAUGAUUAUAUUUUAAACAGGUCUGAAUAUUUUUCACAAUUUUCAUCUUAAUUACGACCUAAUAGUUCACUGAGUUGAUUUUAGUAACUCUAUUCUGCUAAUCUUGGAUAUAAAUGCUUUUUCCAUAUUUUAGAAUCAUAGACAGCUAUGCUGUGCAUGUGUUUUUGUUUCUGAUGAAUUAUGUCUUAGGAGAAACUCCGGAGUCUAAAGUUUAGAUCAUAGUGUGUGUAUAUAUCUUUAUUAUUCUUAAUAUAUUGCCUUCCAGAAAUGAUAUAUCAAUUCAAAUGAUCAUAGUAAGUAAAUGAAAACAACACAUUUCUUCAACUUUAACCAGCAAUGGGUACCAUUUUACAAAUGCAUUAGCUGCUUUUAGCGGUGAUUAAAGGUAACUCCAGGCUCCAUCACAGAUGGUCUUUUCCCCUGUGUGUCUUUAUCACGGAUAUUCCUAUAUGUAAUUUUUGUGUUAAUGUCAUAGCUUAUUUGAUGUUUAAGUUCUCGAGGUUUUCCUUCUGAAUUUGAAUGAACCCUUCCUAUAUAAUAAAUGUUAAUUUGUCUGACAAUUUCAUUACAAAUAUGUUUCUUUUUUUAAUUAAAAUAGAGUUGAUUUACAGUGUUUCUUCUAUUUCUGUUGUACAGAAAAGUGACCCAAUCACACACAGUUCCCCGUACUGUACAGUAUGGCCCCAUUGUAUUCACUACAAGUAUUUUUCUUACUCUGUUUUUGUUAUACGACAAAGUUAAUUUACAUCCUUUUCACUUACAGGGGCCUUCAGUUUCUGUUGUGGCAGCAUGUCCUUCUGAGUUUCCUCUGUGGAUUCUUGUGUUGUGUAAGGCAUGGCUCUAACACUGUGAUUUUCAAAAUUGUCCUGUUUUAUUCUAAUAAGCUUAUUAAAUCAGCCUUCUUUGCUCCUCUCUUUGGGAAAACUGACUUGGCUUACCACAUAUGAUUUGGGCGUAUGUCUUUUGUGUCCACUGUUUUCUGCUGGUGUGCCUUUCUGUGUGUGUGAGCCAGUACCACACAGUUUUAAGUUCCAAUACUUCUGUGUAAGUUUAAAGUCUGAGAUGGAUAGAUUUCCUUCUUUCUUCUCCUUUUCAGAUUGUCUAUUAUAGUUUUGCCUUUUGUCAUGUUUUUCAAGCAAAUUUUCUGUUGCAGCUUUAAAAAUCAUAUUGCCAUUUUGAUUGAAAUUGUGCUAACUGUAAAUUGCCUUGGAGUGAACAGAUAGAUUUAUAAUAUCCAGUCUCACUGAGGCAAAAACUCUCCCUGUCCAUUUAUUUUAAUUUUUUUAAAUUUCUAAUGAGGAUUUAUAUGUUUCUAUAGAAGACUUUUGCUCUUGGAUUUCUCUCUGGUGCAGCGGAUUAACAAUGCAGCAUUGUCACUGCUGUGGCACAGGUUUGAUCCCAGGCCCAGGAACUUCCAAAUGCUGCAGGGGCAGCCAAAAAAAAAAAAAGGCUUUUGUUCUUAUUUUGUACAGUAUAAACUUUAGGGUUUUAGAUUGCUUUUUAAUAAAAUAAUGGCUAACAUUUACCAAGCAUGUAAUAUGCACUAGAUACCAAGUUAUGUGUUUUAUGUAUAUUACCUCAUGAAAGACCUCUCUAAAAUAGCCACUCUCUAAAGUUAUUACCAUAAUGCCUAUGAGGAAGCUGAGGUUUUGGCUGGUCAUAUAAUCUGUCCAAGGCUACAUGACUGUUAAACAGUAGAGCUGAGGUUGGCACACAGGACUGUCUGACCUUAAAUGCCAUGCUCUUAACCACCAACCUAUACAUAGAAAACUGGAAUUAUGAGUUACUAGGGUAAUGAAAGGUAGCCAGAAUAAAAGCAAAAACCUUGUGCUAAGAUCAGAAGAAAAAGGUCAAUAUCUGUUCAGAAUGUGAAAAAGAGUUCAUAUUUUCUAUACAGUGUCAGCUAAGAAAGUGGCAUGAUUGUUCAAAACAAAGUAAUGAAAGCCAGUUCUGUAUUAAUGGACAUAGGAUGCCAGUUUGUGGAAGGGGAUUGUACCAGUGGAUCAAUAUCUAGAGAGCUAUCUUCUCAGCUUCCUAUUUUGAAAGUGGUCUUUCUAACGGGGAGUUUCAUCAGGGGAUGAUAACGUGAGAAAGAGGAAUUAUGUAGAAUAAAUUGAUGAAGAAUGGGAACUUUCAGCAUGGUUUAAAGAAGACACCUGAAGGGUUGUUUAGAGGAAUAGACAUGUGGUGAAGUAAGGUUUCUGGGAGACAGAUUUUGGUUCCAGUAAAUUUUUAAAGAAUUAGCCUGUCUAACAGGGAAACUGGAUUCUUUGUAUUUCGUGAGCCUCUCAUCCUUUGAAUUUGAGCAGAGACUCAAAUAUAGGAACCCUAGGCUCCCCAAACACAACCACUAUUUACAUUUUGUAAUUUGUACAAUUUACACUUACACAAAUUACAUUUGUAGUGAUGCUCCAUCUUUUCUCAAGCUUUCUUUUACAUGGUUAUAAUCAUGCCUUACAUUAAUUUAGAAUUUUGCUUUUUUCCCUUAUCAUUGUAGAUUAGGGAAUCAGAUUACUUGAUAUGCUCCCAUGUGCAAAGAGAAUAUAGCUUUUUAAAUUUCUAGAGCUAACGUGAGCUUUCUCAUCAACCUGGUAGGUAUUUGGAAAACUUGACAAUUAAUGAUAGCUUAGUCUUUGCCAGCUAAACAGUCUGUGUCUGUAAAAUAGUAAGUUCAACCCUCUCUUCCAGGGUUGGCUGAAGUAAUUCCUUGGAUGAUUGGGUCUAUUACAAUGUUUCAGAUUUCUGUCCUUCCCUCCCCUUCUUUACAAGAUGGGAUCUGGGUGCAGUUUGGAGUGGGGGGGGGGCGGAAAGGGAAUGGGGGAGGAGGCUGGAGUGAGCAGGUAAACGGUUUAUGUGAGAUCAUGGUAAGGAAGAAAGAGGUCUCAGUGUUUUCAUUUAUUCCAAUUCCUGGCUUCUGCUAGCUCACUGGCCUUCUCAGAACCUCCCCAAUCACUCUCUUGAACCCAUUCAGACAUGGGGUCCCCAGAAUAGAGAGCACAUGCAGUAUUCAGAGGGAAUCAGAAGAACGGUUUUAAGGUCAUCCAACCAUCUUCAUCAACCAGUUUUAUACCAUCUCUCCUAUAUUAUUUGGGAUGUGGUGCUAAGUUGAAGGUGAGAUUCUUUCUAAUGGAGAAAAGGGCAACAAAUAUGUGUAUUCAACUUUCUCUUCAACCUAUGGAAAAGCUUAAAACAUCUGCCUCAGAGCAGAAGUCAAGUCCUGUGAGCUUUCCACUUUCUUCUUCAGAUUCUCCUCCCUUGUUUGGACUCUCCCCUGUCUCAGCAUAAAUAGAAUGGUUCUUUCCUCUUCCUGUCUGUUUAGCAAUACCAUACAAUACUAUCUAUUUUGUGUUUUCUGUAC
rnacentral:lncRNA from 1 species